CCCUUCGAUGUUCUGGGCUGCACGCGCGCUACACUGAUGCGUUCAACGAGUGUACAACCUUGCCCGAUAGGGUUGGGUAACCUUUUGAACACGUAUCGUGAUGGGGAUAGAUUAUUGCAAUUAUUAAUCUUCAACGAGGAAUUCCUAGUAAUGGCGAAUCAUCAGUUCGUCGUGAUUACGUCCCUGCCCUUUGUACACACCGCCCGUCGCUCCUACCGAUUGAGCAAUCCGGUGAAUAUUUCGGACCGAAUAUCUGCGGGGCAACCCAUGGACGUUUGGAAAGUCAAGUAAACCUUAUUGCUUAGAGGAAGGAGAAGUCGUAACA
rnacentral:rRNA from 1 species